CCUACGGGAGGCAGCAGUGAGGAAUAUUGGACAAUGGGCGCAAGCCUGAUCCAGCCAUGCCGCGUGCAGGAAGAAGCAUCUAUGGUGUGUAAACUGCUUUUGUACAGGAAGAAACACUCCCUCGUGAGGGAGCUUGACGGUACUGUAAGAAUAAGGACCGGCUAACUCCGUGCCAGCAGCCGCGGUAAUACGGAGGGUCCGAGCGUUAUCCGGAAUCAUUGGGUUUAAAGGGUCCGUAGGCGGUUUAAUAAGUCAGUGGUGAAAUCUGGUCGCUCAACGAUCAAACGGCCAUUGAUACUGUUAGACUUGAAUUAUAAGGAAGUAACUAGAAUAUGUAGUGUAGCGGUGAAAUGCUUAGAUAUUACAUGGAAUACCAAUUGCGAAGGCAGGUUACUACUUAUGGAUUGACGCUGAUGGACGAAAGCGUGGGGAGCGAACAGGAUUAGAUACCCUGGUAGUCCACGCCGUAAACGAUGGAUACUAGCUGUUCGGAGCAAUCUGAGUGGCUAAGCGAAAGUGAUAAGUAUCCCACCUGGGGAGUACGUUCGCAAGAANAGAACGUACAAAGAAAGUUAGUACGGCGUGAGACGUAGCCGAACGGACGACCGACCGACGGGGAGGGAGGGAG
rnacentral:rRNA from 1 species